rnacentral:rRNA from 1 species
GACGAACGCUGGCGGCGUGCUUAACACAUGCAAGUCGAACGGACAGACAGAGAGCUUGCUCUCUUGAAGUUAGUGGCGAACGGGUGAGUAAUGCGUAAUCAACCUGCCCUUCAGAGGGGGAUAACAACGGGAAACCGUUGCUAAUACCGCGUACGAUUCAUGAACGGCAUCGUUUAUGAAUGAAAGGUGGCCUCUAUGUAUAAGCUAUCGCUGAAGGAGGGGAUUGCGUCUGAUUAGCUAGUUGGAGGGGUAACGGCCCACCAAGGCAAUGAUCAGUAGCCAGUCUGAGAGGAUGAACGGCCACAUUUGGACUGAGACACGGCCCAAACUCCGACGGGAGGCAGCAGUGGGGAAUCGUCCGCAAUGGACGAAAGUCUGACGGAGCAACGCCGCGUGAGUGAUGAAGGUCUUCGGAUUGUAAAGCUCUGUUAAUCGGGACGAAAGAGUUCUGCGUGAAUAAUGCAGAAAAGUGACGGUACCGGAAUAGAAAGCCACGGCUAACUACGUGCCAGCCGCCGCCGUAA